rnacentral:tRNA from 1 species
AAAUAAUAAGCAUAUGAUGCACUUAGUUUCGACCUAAAAGAAUAUGUUAAAACAUAAUUAUUUA